rnacentral:misc_RNA from 1 species
GAUCAUUACUGAGUGAGGGUCCCUCGGGGCCCAACCUCCCACCCGUGUAUACCGUACCUUGUUGCUUCGGCGGGCCCGCCGCGCAAGCGGCCGCCGGGGGGGCGUCAAACCCCCCUCCCUAGGCGAGCGCCCGCCGGAGACACCAACGUGAACACUGUCUGAAGUUUUGUUGUCUGAGUUCGAUUGUAUCGCAAUCAGUUAAAACUUUCAACAAUGGAUCUCUUGGUUCCGGCAUCGAUGAAGAACGCAGCGAAAUGCGAUAAUUAAUGUGAAUUGCAGAAUUCAGUGAAUCAUCGAGUCUUUGAACGCACAUUGCACCCCCUGGUAUUCCGGGGGGUAUGCCUGUCCGAGCGUCAUUGCUGCCCUCAAGCACGGCUUGUGUGUUGGGUCGUCGUCCCCCCCGGGGACGGGCCCGAAAGGCAGCGGCGGCACCGCGUCCGGUCCUCGAGCGUAUGGGGCUUUGUCACCCGCUCUUGUAGGCCCGGCCGGCGCUGGCCGACGCUGAAAAGCAACCAACUAUUUCUCCAGGUUGACCUCGGAUCAGGUAGGGAUACCCGCUGAACUUAAGCAUAUCAAUAA